CGAGCUAUUUGCUAUCCAAGGAAUUAACCAUGGAGUUGCAUGUCAUAGUAGCAAUUGUGGGUUUGUUUGCAGGAUCCUGUCAAGAAGACAUGGUAAACCUCAUCAUGAUCAAGAAUGAGACUUUGCUUGCAUCCAGGCAUUCAGUUAAGAAAUGAUGUUUUCCCAACCAAGGCUAGCUUCCCAAAAGUUGUUUGAUAGUAUACAGGCAUGAGAUGGUGUGACUCUAACUCAUUAGAUGCCUUCGUCUUUUCAGUCAUCAUGUGAUGGAAAGAAAGCUAUCAACUUCAUUCCUGAGACUUCCUGCAACACAGCUCCUGAUACACAUCUGGUCAGAACCAUGGUACCCCUCCACAAUCCACGCCAGGAAAUUGGAUGUCUACUCCCUGCCUUUCUUCCCAUUGUUUGGGGACUUUUCCUUAGUUCAGCUGAAGACGGGGUCCUUGUCACACGGCCACGAAAAUUUAGGCUUGCAGAUUAUUUGAAGGAAAUCCAAACAAAAGCUUUAGAAGAAACACCUGGAAAAAUAGUAUCUCCACUUUGAAAAUGCAGAAAUACAGGCAUAAUACAAUGGUGAAAUUUA
rnacentral:lncRNA from 10 species